rnacentral:rRNA from 1 species
CACGUAGGGGGCAAGCGUUGUCCGGAUUUAUUGGGCGUAAAGAGCUCGUAGGCGGUUUGUCGCGUCGAAUGUGAAAACCCGGGGCUCAACCCCGGGCCUGCAUUCGAUACGGGCAGACUAGAGUUCGGUAGGGGAGUCUGGAAUUCCUGGUGUAGCGGUGAAAUGCGCAGAUAUCAGGAGGAACACCGGUGGCGAAGGCGGGACUCUGGGCCGAUACUGACGCUGAGGGGCGAAAGCGUGGGGAGCAAACAGG